AGCGCAUACGGUGGAUGCCUUGGCAGUCAGAGGCGAUGAAAGACGUGGUAGCCUGCGAAAAGCUUCGGGGAGUCGGCAAACAGACUGUGAUCCGGAGAUGUCUGAAUGGGGGAACCCAGCCAUCACAAGAUGGUUAUCUUACACUGAAUACAUAGGUGUAAGAGGCGAACCAGGGGAACUGAAACAUCUAAGUACCCUGAGGAAAAGAAAUCAACCGAGAUUCCCUUAGUAGUGGCGAGCGAACGGGGACCAGCCCUUAAGUUGUAUUGAGAUUAGCGGAACGCUCUGGAAAGUGCGGCCAUAGUGGGUGAUAGCCCUGUACGCGAAAAUCCCUUUGCAAUGAAAUCGAGUAGGACGGGGCACGAGAAACCUUGUCUGAAUAUGGGGGGACCAUCCUCCAAGGCUAAAUACUACUGACUGACCGAUAGUGAACCAGUACCGUGAGGGAAAGGCGAAAAGAACCGCGGAGAGCGGAGUGAAAUAGAUCCUGAAACCGUAUGCGUACAAGCAGUGGGAGCCCACUUUGUUGGGUGACUGCGUACCUUUUGUAUAAUGGGUCAGCGACUUAUUUUCAGUGGCGAGCUUAACCGAAUAGGGGAGGCGUAGCGAAAGCGAGUCUUAAUAGGGCGUCUAGUCGCUGGGAAUAGACCCGAAACCGGGCGAUCUAUCCAUGGGCAGGUUGAAGGUUGGGUAACACUAACUGGAGGACCGAACCGACUACCGUUGAAAAGUUAGCGGAUGACCUGUGGAUCGGAGUGAAAGGCUAAUCAAGCUCGGAGAUAGCUGGUUCUCCUCGAAAGCUAUUUAGGUAGCGCCUCAUGUAUCACUGUAGGGGGUAGAGCACUGUUUCGGCUAGGGGGUCAUCCCGACUUACCAAACCGAUGCAAACUCCGAAUACCUACAAGUGCCGAGCAUGGGAGACACACGGCGGGUGCUAACGUCCGUCGUGAAAAGGGAAACAACCCAGACCGUCAGCUAAGGUCCCAAAGUCAUGGUUAAGUGGGAAACGAUGUGGGAAGGCUUAGACAGCUAGGAGGUUGGCUUAGAAGCAGCCACCCUUUAAAGAAAGCGUAAUAGCUCACUAGUCGAGUCGGCCUGCGCGGAAGAUGUAACGGGGCUCAAACCAUGCACCGAAGCUACGGGUAUCACCUUUGGUGAUGCGGUAGAGGAGCGUUCUGUAAGCCUGUGAAGGUGAGUUGAGAAGCUUGCUGGAGGUAUCAGAAGUGCGAAUGCUGACAUGAGUAACGACAAUGGGUGUGAAAAACACCCACGCCGAAAGACCAAGGUUUCCUGCGCAACGUUAAUCGACGCAGGGUUAGUCGGUCCCUAAGGCGAGGCUGAAAAGCGUAGUCGAUGGAAAACAGGUUAAUAUUCCUGUACUUCUGGUUAUUGCGAUGGAGGGACGGAGAAGGCUAGGCCAGCCUGGCGUUGGUAGUCCAGGUUUAAGGUGGUAGGCUGAGAUCUUAGGUAAAUCCGGGAUCUUAAGGCCGAGAGCUGAUGACGAGUGUUCUUUUAGAACAUGAAGUGGUUGAUGCCAUGCUUCCAAGAAAAGCUUCUAAGCUUCAGGUAACCAGGAACCGUACCCCAAACCGACACAGGUGGUUGGGUAGAGAAUACCAAGGCGCUUGAGAGAACUCGGGUGAAGGAACUAGGCAAAAUGGCACCGUAACUUCGGGAGAAGGUGCGCCGGUGAGGGUGAAGCAUUUACUGCGUAAGCCCACGCCGGUCGAAGAUACCAGGCCGCUGCGACUGUUUAUUAAAAACACAGCACUCUGCAAACACGAAAGUGGACGUAUAGGGUGUGACGCCUGCCCGGUGCCGGAAGGUUAAUUGAUGGGGUUAGCGCAAGCGAAGCUCUUGAUCGAAGCCCCGGUAAACGGCGGCCGUAACUAUAACGGUCCUAAGGUAGCGAAAUUCCUUGUCGGGUAAGUUCCGACCUGCACGAAUGGCGUAACGAUGGCGGCGCUGUCUCCACCCGAGACUCAGUGAAAUUGAAAUCGCUGUGAAGAUGCAGUGUAUCCGCGGCUAGACGGAAAGACCCCGUGAACCUUUACUAUAGCUUUGCACUGGACUUUGAAUUUGCUUGUGUAGGAUAGGUGGGAGGCUUUGAAGCGUGGACGCCAGUCUGCGUGGAGCCAACCUUGAAAUACCACCCUGGCAACUUUGAGGUUCUAACUCAGGUCCGUUAUCCGGAUCGAGGACAGUGUAUGGUGGGUAGUUUGACUGGGGCGGUCUCCUCCUAAAGAGUAACGGAGGAGUACGAAGGUGCGCUCAGACCGGUCGGAAAUCGGUCGUAGAGUAUAAAGGCAAAAGCGCGCUUGACUGCGAGACAGACACGUCGAGCAGGUACGAAAGUAGGUCUUAGUGAUCCGGUGGUUCUGUAUGGAAGGGCCAUCGCUCAACGGAUAAAAGGUACUCCGGGGAUAACAGGCUGAUACCGCCCAAGAGUUCAUAUCGACGGCGGUGUUUGGCACCUCGAUGUCGGCUCAUCACAUCCUGGGGCUGAAGCCGGUCCCAAGGGUAUGGCUGUUCGCCAUUUAAAGUGGUACGCGAGCUGGGUUUAGAACGUCGUGAGACAGUUCGGUCCCUAUCUGCCGUGGACGUUUGAGAUUUGAGAGGGGCUGCUCCUAGUACGAGAGGACCGGAGUGGACGAACCUCUGGUGUUCCGGUUGUCACGCCAGUGGCAUUGCCGGGUAGCUAUGUUCGGAAAAGAUAACCGCUGAAAGCAUCUAAGCGGGAAACUUGCCUCAAGAUGAGAUCUCACUGGAACCUAGAGUUCCCUGAAGGGCCGUCGAAGACUACGACGUUGAUAGGUUGGGUGUGUAAGCGCUGUGAGGCGUUGAGCUAACCAAUACUAAUUGCCCGUGAGGCUUGACC
rnacentral:rRNA from 1 species